rnacentral:rRNA from 1 species
UCUACGGGCGGCAGCAGUGGGGAAUAUUGCACAAUGGGGGGAACCCUGAUGCAGCGACGCCGCGUGGGUGAAGGCGUAUUUCGGUAUGGAAAGCCCUAUCAGCAGGGAAGAACAAUGACGGUACCUGACUAAUAAGCACCGGCUAAAUACGUGCCAGCAGCCGCGGUAAUAAGUAGGGUGCAAGCGUUAUCCGGAUUUACUGGGGGUAAAGGGAGCGCAGGUGGUGCGUUAAGCCUGGUGUGAAAGCCCGCGGCUCAACCGCGGGACUGCAUUGGGAACUGGCGGGCUGGAGUGCCGGAGGGGUAGGCGGAAUUCGUAGUGUAGCGGUGAAAUGCGUAGAUAUUAGGAGGAACACCAGUUGCGAAGGCGGCCUACUGGACCGUGACUGACGCUGAGGCUCGAGAGCGUGGGGAGCGAACAGGAUUAGAUACCCCUGUAGUC